rnacentral:miRNA from 1 species
UGUGUGUGUAUGUGUGUGUGUGUGUGUGUAUGUGCAAAUGAGCAUACACAUGUACACACACACACAUACACACACAUACACACACACACACA